UUCACCAGUUUCUAACCCAUCAUAUGUUUAGGUUUCUUCUCCCCAGUCCCUGGCCCCACCUCUCCUGCCACAAACGUCAGCAUGGUGGUAUCUGCCAGCCCUUGGUCCAGUGAGAAGGCAGAGAUGAACAUUCUAGAAAUCAAUGAGAAAUUGCGCCCCCAGCUGGCAGAGAACAAACAGCAGUUCAGAAACCUCAAAGAGAAAUUUCUUGUAACUCAAGUGGCCUGCUUCCUGGCCAACCAGCAGAAGAAAUACAAGUAUGAAGAGUGCAAAGAGCUCCUAAAAUCUAUGCUGAGGAAUGAGCUACAGUUCAAGGAGGAGAAGCUUGCAGAGCAGCUCAAGCAAGCUGAGGAGGUCAGGCAAUAUAAAGUCCUGGUUCACUCUCAGGAACGAGAGCUGACCCAGUUAAGGGAGAAGUUACGGGAAGGGAGAGAUGCCUCCCGCUCAUUGAAUCAGCAUCUCCAGACCCUCCUCACUCCAGAUGAGCUGGACAAGUCCCAGGGGCAGGACCUCCAAGAACAGCUGGCUGAGGGGUGUAGACUGGCAAAGCACCUUGUCCAAAAGCUCAGCCCAGAAAAUGACAAAGAUGAGGAUGAAGAUGUUCAAGUUGAGGAGGCUGAGAAAGUGCAGAAAUCAUCUGCCCCCAGGGAGGUGCAGAAGGCUGAAGAAAAGGAAGUCCCUGAGGACUCACUGGAGGAAUGUGCUGUCACUUAUUCAAAGAGCCACGGCCCUUAUGACUCCAACCAGCCACACAGGAAAACCAAAAUCACAUUUGAGGAAGACAAAGUCGACUCAACUCUCAUUGACUCAUCCUCUCAUGUUGAAUGGGAGGAUGCUGUACAAAUUAUCCCAGUUCCUGGCUCCACCUCUUCUGGCAUAAAUGUCAGCAUGGCUGUAUCUGCCAGCCUUUUGUCGAGUGAGAGGGCAGAGAUGAACAUCCUACAACUCAACCAAGAAUUGCGCUCGCAGCUGGCAGAGAGCAAACAGCAGUUCUGAGACCUCAAAGAGAAAUUUCUUAUAACUCAAACUAUUGCCUACUCCCUGGCCAACCAGCUGAAGAAGUACGUAAAGUGUGAAGAGUGCAAAGACCUCAUAAAAUCUAGGCUGAGGGAUGAGCUGCAGUUCAAGGGGGAGAAACUGGCAGAGAAGCUCAGGCAAGUUGAAGAGCUCAGGCAAUAUAAAGUCUCUGUUCACUCCCAGGCCCGAGAGCUGGCCUGGUUACAGGACAAGUUACGGGAAGGGAGAGAUGCCUUUCUCUUACUGAAUCAACAUCUCAAGGCCUUCCUCACUCCCGAUGAUUCUGACAACUCCCGGGGGCAGGACCUCUGACAGCAGGCUGGCAGAGCACCUUGUCCACAAGCUCAGCCCAGAGAAUGAUGAAGGUGAUAGUGAAAAUGAUAAAGAUGAAGAGAUUCAUAAAGUAUGAGAAUCACCUGCCCCCAGGGAGGUGCAGAAGGCUGAAGAAAAGAAAGUCCCUGAGGACUCACUGGAGGAAUGUGCCGUCACUUAUUCAAAUAGCCACAGCCCUUGUAACUUUAACCAGCCACACAGGAACACCAAAAUCACAUUUGAGGCAGACAAAUUUGACUCUGGGCUGGUUGUAGACAGUGAAUCCUCUCAUGAUGAAUGGGAGGAUGCUCUACACAUUCUCCCAGAAAAUCAAAGUAAUCACGAGGAAGAGGAAGAAAAAGGGCCAGCAUCUCCCAGGAAUCUUCAGGAGUCUGAAGAGGAGGAAGCCCCUCAGGAGUCCUGGGAUGAAGGUUAUUCAACUCUGUCAAUUCCUCCUGACAUGUUGGCCUCAUACCAGUCUUACAGGAGUACCUUUCACUCAUUAGAGGAACAGCAAGUCGGCUUGACUCUUGACAUAGGCAGAGACCUGUGUGAUCAAGUGAAAAAGGAGGAUCGAGAGGCAACAUGUCCCAGGCUCAGCAGGGAGCUGUUGGAAGCAGAAGAGCCUGAAGUCUUGCAGGACUCACUGGAUAGAUAUUAUUCGACUCCUACCAGUUAUCUUGAACUGCCUGACUCAUGCCAGCCCUACAGAAGUACUUUUACUCAUUGGAGGAACAGCAUGUUGGCUUGGCUCUUGACGGGGACAGAAUUAAAAAGGACCAAGAAGAGGAAGAAGACCAAGGCCCCCCAUGCCCCAGGCUCAGCAGUGAGCUGCUGGAAGGGGAAGGGCCUGAAGUCUUGCAGGACUCACUGGAUAGACGUUAUUCAACUCCUUCCAGUUAUCUUGAACUGUGUGACUCAUGCCAGUCCUAUAAAACUGCCUUUUACUCAUUGGAGGAACAGCAUAUUGGCUUGGCUCUUUACGUGGACAACAUUGAAAAAAAUCAAGAAGAAGAAGAAGACCAAGACCCACCAUGCCCCAGGCUGAGCCUGGAACUGCCAGAGGUGGAGGAACAGGACGUCCUGCAGGACUCCCCGGAUGAAGUUUACUUGACUCCUUCACUCCCCCAUGACCUGUCUGGCUGCCAGCAGCCUUACAGCAGCACAUUGUACUCAUUGGGGGAUCAGCUCACCUGAUUUGCUCUCGAUGUAGCCUCUCUCACCCAGGCGGCCUGUCCUUAUGGGCCUUGGAGUGGAGACUUGAGCCACCACCUGUUAGAGGUGCAGGCUUCACAGGCAUAGCCAGAGCCAAGAACCCUGGUGCCCAGUUGUCUGUGACUGAAACUGGAUCAAGGGUUUGACUGUGGCUAUGGCUUAGCCAGGUGGGGCGUUUCCUCCACCACCUGCAGCUUCACAGCCAACGCUUAACCUGGGAAGCAAUGGCCCUUCCAAGAGCUGGAUUUAGAGUCUUCCCUUGAAUGAAGAACCCUCCCCAGCUGGAAGGUGAUGCUCUUGAAGGCUCAGCUGACAACACACAUGGGCAUCAAGUCAUUGGCCACAUUCAUGCCUCAAGUGUCCUAAAACCGAAGAUGAUCAAAAGAAAACUGCCUUUCAGCAAGUGGAGACUGGCAUGCAGAUUCCCUGGCCUGCAAGCUUAG